CGCGGCCUAUCAGCUUGUUGGCGGGGUAAUGGCCCACCAAGGCUUCGACGGGUAGCUGGUCUGAGAGGAUGGCCAGCCACAUUGGGACUGAGAGACGGCCCAGACUCCUACGGGAGGCAGCAGUGGGGAAUCUUGCGCAAUGGCCGAAAGGCUGACGCAGCGACGCCGCGUGUGGGAGGACGCCCUUCGGGGUGUAAACCACUGUUGCCCGGGACGAACAUCCACUUUCGAGUGGACUGACGGUACCGGGUGAGGAAGCACCGGCUAACUCCGUGCCAGCAGCCGCGGUAAUACGGAGGGUGCGAGCGUUGUCCGGAAUCACUGGGCGUAAAGGGCGCGUAGGCGGCGCGGAAAGUCAACGGUGAAAGCUUGGGGCUCAACCCCGAGUCGGCCGUCGAUACUUCCGUGCUCGAGCACUGUAGAGGCAGGUGGAAUUCCGGGUGUAGCGGUGGAAUGCGUAGAGAUCCGGAAGAACACCGGUGGCGAAGGCGGCCUGCUGGGCAGUAGCUGACGCUGAUGCGCGACAGCGUGGGGAGCAAACAGGAUUAGAUACCCUGGUAGUCCACGCCGUAAACGAUGGGUACUAGGUGCUUGGGGGAGCGACCCCCUGAGUGCCGGCGCUAACGCAUUAAGUACCCCGCCUGGGGAGUACGG
rnacentral:rRNA from 1 species